UACGAAGGGGGCUAGCGUUGCUCGGAAUUACUGGGCGUAAAGCGCACGUAGGCGGUCUUUUAAGUCGGUGGUGAAAUCCUGGAGCUCAACUCCAGAACUGCCUUCGAUACUGGAAGACUUGAGUCCGGGAGAGGUGAGUGGAACUGCGAGUGUAGAGGUGAAAUUCGUAGAUAUUCGCAAGAACACCAGUGGCGAAGGCGGCUCACUGGCCCGGAACUGACGCUGAGAUGCGAAAGCGUGGGGAGCAAACAGG
rnacentral:rRNA from 1 species